AAUGAACGUUGGCGGCGUGGAUUAGGCAUGCAAGUCGAGCGAGAAGAGUUUGGUAGCUUGCUAUUGAACUCGGACAGCGGCGAAAGGGAGAGUAACGCGUAGUUACGUGCCCCAGGGUUCGGGAUAGCCACGGGAAACUGUGGGUAAUGCCGAAUAACAUCUCCGGAUCAAAGGUGUGAUUCCGCCCUGGGAGCGGACUGCGUCCUACUAGCUAGUUGGCGGGGUAAUGGCCCACCAAGGCGACAAUGGGUAGCGGGUGUGAGAGCAUGACCCGUCUCACUGGGACUGAGACACUGCCCAGACACCUACGGGUGGCUGCAGUCGGGAAUCUUCGGCAAUGGGCGAAAGCCUGACCGAGCGACGCCGCGUGCGGGAUGAAGGCCCUCGGGUUGUAAACCGCUGUCGUAGGGGAGGAAGGCUCCGUGAAGAACGGGGUUUGACCUAGCCUAGGAGGAAGUACGGGCUAAGUUCGUGCCAGCCGCCGCCGUAA
rnacentral:rRNA from 1 species